CAGAUAGUAGUUUAAUAUAAAACACCGGCUUUGGGUGCCAAAAAUCGCUCAUUGUGCUAUCUGAA
rnacentral:tRNA from 1 species